rnacentral:lncRNA from 1 species
AUUCUUCUGCAACUUGCUCUUUUUUUCUCUCCAAAUUCCAUAUGUGAGAAUCUAUUCUGUGUUCUUUAUUUUCUCUGCUGUAUGGUAUGCUGAUGUAGACACGUACAGAGAUUAUCAGCCGCCAGGUUAUUUACGUGUUUAUUUUGAUCGUAUAAAGAGGGAUGCUAUAAGCUUUCUUGUACAAAAUGACCCAAAAAGUCCCUUCCACAGCAAAUGUGUCCAUUGUCAAUUAUUUUACUUUGUUCCAGUUGAGCAUAGAAUUUGAGAGUGUGGAGGGGCUGGGGAAAGUGUGUGAAGGCACUGGAGGGAGCCUACAGGAGAAUGCUAACUAUGACAGCAGACAGACGUCAUGCCUGCCCUGUACAUGUGUUUGUGGACACAUCCCGGGAAGUUUCUCUGGCGUGUUUAUUUGAGGACGAACUGAGUAAAAGAGGGUAUUCCUUAUCUAUGGCUGUGUAAUACUACCACCAUUUACUUAGGGGCUUAAAACAACACAGUUUCCACACAGUUUGGCUGGGUCAUCUCCAAGACUGCAAUCAAGGUGCUGGCCAGGACAGAUUUCUUGUCUGAAGACUAAAACCUGCGAAGGAUUCAAUUCCAAGCUCACCAGGUGGUUGCGUCCGAGCUCACUUCCUUGUGGCUGUUGGACUAAGGGAUUUGAUUUCUUCAUGGCUGUUGGUCAGAGGCCGCCCACAGCUACUUGCCAGUGUGGGCCCCUUAACAUGGUUGCUGGAUUCAUCAAAGUCUCCUCACAAGAUGGAGUCACAAGUCUACACAAUGGUCAUGGAAGUGUUUUCCAAAGUUCUUUGACCACAGAAUCUUCAGACAAAAUGAUAUUCUUUAUUGCCCAUUUUGAUAUUGCUCUACAAAAUCAUGGCACAGCCUCACUGAAGUACUGUGACCUAUUAACAGGAAGAAGGUCAGAAAAUGUAAGUUUCACAGCAGUGUAAAGAGAAUGAACAAAAAUAUUAAAAUGUUUACUUUUUGGAUUAUAGACAGUUUUCAGAUUAUGUUAGUUUUAAAUAAGCAAGUUUACCUGCUUUUAUGUAAUAAUUCUACUUUUAAGCCAUUUCUGAUAAGACAUUUAUUUUCAUGAGAAAAUGUUUAAGUUUGUUACACUGGAGGUUAAGGCAUUAGAGUUUCC